UGGUGGAGUGAUUUGUCUGGUUAAUUCCGUUAACGAACGAGACCUCCGCGUGCUAAAUAGUUUCGCUUACAAUUUUUUGUAGGUUGGAGACUUCUUAGAGGGACUUUUGGGUAAUCAAACCAAAGGAAGUUGGAGGCAAUAACA
rnacentral:rRNA from 1 species